AUUGCCUCAGUAACGGCGAGUGAAGCGGCAAGAGCUCAAAUUUGAAAGCUGGCCCCUUCGGGGUCCGCGUUGUAAUUUGCAGAGGAUGCUUCGGGUGCAGCCCCCGUCUAAGUGCCCUGGAACGGGCCGUCAUAGAGGGUGAGAAUCCCGUCUGGGACGGGGUGUCUGCGUCCGUGUGAAGCUCCUUCGAAGAGUCGAGUUGUUUGGGAAUGCAGCUCUAAAUGGGUGGUAAAUUUCAUCUAAAGCUAAAUACUGGCCGGAGACCGAUAGCGCACAAGUAGAGUGAUCGAAAGAUGAAAAGCACUUUGAAAAGAGAGUUAAACAGCACGUGAAAUUGUUGAAAGGGAAGCGUUUGCGACCAGACUCGCUCGCGGGGUUCAGCCGGCAUUCGUGCCGGUGUACUUCCCCGUGGGCGGGCCAGCGUCGGUUUGGGCGGCCGGUCAAAGGCCCUCGGAAUGUAUCACCUCUCGGGGUUGUCUUAUAGCCGAGGGUGCAAUGCGGCCUGCCCGGACCGAGGAACGCGCU
rnacentral:rRNA from 1 species